AGUUCAGAAGUGUGCUCUCCAGAUAUGCCCUCCCAAGGUCCCUGCCAAACCUCACCAAACGUUAAUGGCUACACUGAGUCUUAACUGAU